GCCUCUUGGACUGGGACAACUGUUGGAAACGACAGCUAAUACCGGAUAUUAUGAGAUUCUCGCAUGAGAAACUUAUGAAAGCUAUAUGCGCCAAGAGAGAGCCUUGCGUUCCAUUAGCUAGUUGGUGGGGUAACGGCCCACCAAGGCGACGAUGGAUAGCCGGCCUGAGAGGGUGAACGGCCACAAGGGGACUGAGACACGGCCCUUACUCCUACGGGAGGCAGCAGUGGGGAAUAUUGGACAAUGGGCCACAAGCCUGAUCCAGCAAUUCUGUGUGCACGAUGAAGGUCUUCGGAUUGUAAAGUGCUUUCAGUUGGGAAGAAGAAAGUGACGGUACCAACAGAAGAAGCGACGGCUAAAUACGUGCCAGCAGCCGCGGUAAUACGUAUGUCGCAAGCGUUAUCCGGAUUUAUUGGGCGUAAAGCGCGUCUAGGCGGAAAAAUAAGUCUGAUGUUAAAAUGCGGGGCUCAACUCCGUAUUGCGUUGGAAACUGUUUUUCUAGAGUACUGGAGAGGUGGGCGGAACUACAAGUGUAGAGGUGAAAUUCGUAGAUAUUUGUAGGAAUGCCGAUGGAGAAGUCAGCUCACUGGACAGAUACUGACGCUGAAGCGCGAAAGCGUGGGGAGCAAACAGGAUUAGAUACCCUG
rnacentral:rRNA from 1 species